rnacentral:rRNA from 1 species
AUGAAAAGAACUUUGAAAAGAGAGUUAAAGAGUACCUGAAAUUGCUGAAAUGGAAGCAAAGGAAACCAGUGUUAUCUUGGCUCAUUCUUCCUAUGCUGCUUGCAACAUGGGCGCUGUGAUCUUUGAUAGGCCAACCUGGGCUUAAUUCGAGGUAAUCAACCUUGGAUUGGACUUACGUUGGCGAAAUGGUUUUCUUUACCCCGUCUUGAAACACGGACCAAGGAGUCUAACAUAUGUGCGAGUAUAGGAGUGACAAACUCCCAUGCGUAAUGAAAGUAACAGUGGUAUUCAAUAUCCGCCGGCCACAAUUCUUCGGAAGAAAGGUCUGAGUGUGAGCAUACAUGUUGGGACCCGAAAGAUGGUGAACUAUGCCUGAAUAGGGUGAAGCCAGGGGAAACUCUGGUGGAGGCUCGUAUGCGGUUCUGACGUGCAAAUCGAUCGUCAAAUUUGGGUAUAGGGGCGAAAGACUAAUCGAACCAUCUAGUAGCUGGUUCCCUCCGAAAUUUCCCUCAGGAUAGCUGCAAUCAAAGUAUCUUUAUCA